rnacentral:rRNA from 1 species
GGACUAUCAGGUUGUAGUCAGGGUAAUGACCUGACUAGCCUACGACGGAUACGGGUUGUGAGAGCAAUAACCCGGAGACGAUAUCUGAGACACGAUAUCGGGCCCUACGGGGCGCAGCAGGCGCGAAAACUUCACACUGUGCGAAAGCACGAUGAGGGAAUCCCAAGUGCCAGCUCGUAAGAGUUGGCUGUUUCUCUGUCUAAAACACAGAGAGAGUAAGAGCUGGGUAAGACGGGUGCCAGCCGCCGCGGUAAUACCUGCAGCUCAAGUGGUGGCCGCUAUUAUUGGGCCUAAAACGUUCGUAGCCGGUUUAGUAAAUGCCUGGGUAAAUCGUGUAGCUUAACUAUACGAAUUCCGGGUAGACUGCUAAACUUGAGACCGGGAGAGGCUAGAGGUACUCCUGGGGUAGAGGUGAAAUUCUGUAAUCCUAGGGAGACCACCAGUGGCGAAGGCGUCUAGCUAGAACGGGUCUGACGGUGAGGGACGAAGCCCUGGGGCGCAAACCGGAUUAGAUACCCGGGUAGUCCAGGGUGUAAACGCUGCUUGCUUGAUGUUAGUUGGGCUCCGAGCCCAAUUAGUGUCGGAGAGAAGUUGUUAAGCAAGCUGCCUGGGAAGUACGGUCGCAAGGCUGAAAC